rnacentral:rRNA from 1 species
UACGAAGGGGGCUAGCGUUGCUCGGAAUCACUGGGCGUAAAGGGCGCGUAGGCGGCUUUGUAAGUCGGGGGGUGAAAGCCUGUGGCUCAACCACAGAAUUGCCUUCGGUACUGCAUGGCUUGAGACCGGAAGAGGUAAGUGGAACUGCGAGUGUAGAGGUGAAAUUCGUAGAUAUUCGCAAGAACACCAGUGGCGAAGGCGGCUUACUGGUCCGGUUCUGACGCUGAGGCGCGAAAAGCGUGGGGAGCAAACAGG